rnacentral:rRNA from 1 species
GACGAACGCUGGCGGCGUGCUUAACACAUGCAAGUCGAACGGAAAGGCCCUGCUUGCAGGGUACUCGAGUGGCGAACGGGUGAGUAACACGUGGGUGAUCUGCCCUGCACUUCGGGAUAAGCCUGGGAAACUGGGUCUAAUACCGGAUAGGAGCCAUUUUUAGUGUGAUGGUUGGAAAGUUUUUUCGGUGUAGGAUGAGCUCGCGGCCUAUCAGCUUGUUGGUGGGGUAAUGGCCUACCAAGGCGGCGACGGGUAGCCGGCCUGAGAGGGUGGACGGCCACAUUGGGACUUAGGUACGGCCCAGACUCCUACGGGAGGGAGCAGUGGGGAAUAUUGCACCAUGGGCGCAAGCCUGGUGCAGCCACGCCGCGUUGGGGAUGACGGGCCUCGGGUUGUAAACUCCUUUCGCUAGGGACGAAGCUUUUUGUGACGGUACCUAGAUAAGAAGCACCGGCUAACUACGUG